UAGGGAAUCUUCCACAAUGGACGCAAGUCUGAUGGAGCAACGCCGCGUGAGUGAAGAAGGUUUUCGGAUCGUAAAGCUCUGUUGUUGGUGAAGAAGGAUAGAGGCAGUAACUGGUCUUUAUUUGACGGUAAUCAACCAGAAAGUCACGGCUAACUACGUGCCAGCAGCCGCGGUAAUACGUAGGUGGCAAGCGUUGUCCGGAUUUAUUGGGCGUAAAGCGAGCGCAGGCGGAGUGAUAAGUCUGAUGUGAAAGCCCACGGCUCAACCGUGGAACGGCAUCGGAAACUGUCAUUCUUGAGUGCAGAAGAGGAGAGUGGAAUUCCAUGUGUAGCGGUGGAAUGCGUAGAUAUAUGGAAGAACACCAGUGGCGAAGGCGGCUCUCUGGUCUGCAACUGACGCUGAGGCUCGAAAGCAUGGGUAGCGAACAGG
rnacentral:rRNA from 1 species